rnacentral:rRNA from 1 species
UACGAAGGGGGCUAGCGUUGCUCGGAAUCACUGGGCGUAAAGGGUGCGUAGGCGGGUCUUUAAGUCAGGGGUGAAAUCCUGGAGCUCAACUCCAGAACUGCCUUUGGUACUGAAGAUCUUGAGUUCGGGAGAGGUGAGUGGAACUGCGAGUGUAGAGGUGAAAUUCGUAGAUAUUCGCAAGAACACCAGUGGCGAAGGCGGCUCACUGGCCCGAUACUGACGCUGAGGCACGAAAGCGUGGGGAGCAAACAGG